AUGGCGUGCACCAUGCGAGAGACCUGCAAGGGCAGGGCAGGUCAGUGUGCGCGGGGACGCGGGAGUGGGACUCCGACCGCGGGCGGCACCCACCUUCUCCUUCUCCACCAGGGACGGGAUGAAACUGCGCUUGUCGGCGGGUCGGUUGGUCACCGGGUGGAUCAUUGGGUCCCCGCUGAAGAAGUCCACAGCCGGCUGGGGGCACAAGCGGACAUGUGGGCCAGGGCCCUGCAGCUGCCCCCCCACACCCAGGGCGAGCUGCUGCCACCUACCUCAUACGGAUCGAAGCCCCCGUCCCCAAACUGCCCCCUCUGCAGCCGCCGCACCAGGGCCACCUGCUCGUCCGUCAGCCGCACGUCGUGCCCCGUCAUCCGGUCCUGCACCGUGCGCCUGGGGGGAGGGGGCGCCCGUCAGAGCCAAGCCCGAAGCCCCCCGCCCCCCCCAGGCCCCGCUCCGAGCCUACGCACCAGUAAUCAGGGUUGUCCAUCUUGUCCAGAAACUGGUCCAGCUCGUCACGGGUCCGCAGGGGCUUGUAGAUGCGCCUGCCGUCCAGGUCAUAGCCCACGUGGGGGAAGUCAUCGUACCACUCCAGGGGCACAUUGCCCACCGUGUUCCGGAUGUCCUGGGGCAGCAGGCCAGCGUGUUAGCAUCAGGCACCCACCAUGCCCACUCCUCCCUUCAAGCUCCCCCAGAGUCACAGGCAAGGGCGGGGGAAACCAGCGAGAGCAAAGGGAUGGGCCUCGAGGCUGGUGGGACGGGACCCGGGCACCCCGACACAUGCCCUCUCCCUGGGGUGUGACGUGGCACGACGGCCAGUGCUGCCCCCCCCCCACAACUGGCCCUCAGAGGCGCCGGAGCUGUACCUUCACAUUUUCCACUGAAGUGGUGCCAACCCCAGAGCCUCCCCCCUGGAUUCCUUGGCCAGGACUCUGGGCAGCCACAGACAAGGGUGACCUCAUCGCCCAUGGGCUCCCUCCCCUGGUGGGGGCCUUAGGCGAAAAUGGGUAG
rnacentral:lncRNA from 1 species